UUCUCCAAAGCACUCUCCCGAGGACAGGGACGUCCCUCCCAGCAGCCCUCACUGCUCCACCCUCAACUUCAGGAAAGUAGGCUUAGGUCUUCUAGGGCCAGUCAGACUCAGUCUGGGAGCCCUUGGACCGGAGGCUAAAGGCAAAGUCAGCUGUCCGCCUAGGGAUGCCAUCACCCCACUUCUCUAGCAGCCCCAGAGAGACUGGCCCGGGAGAUCCUUUCACCAGGCCCACAGGACGGCCUCCUCCUGUUAACAGGGUUACAGAAGUGCACCGCCAUGCCCUGUUUAUGCACCACUGUGCUUCUUGAACGUUAAGCAAGUGCUCUACCAACCAAUGACAGCUCCAGCCAGCGGCCACCUGAUGUCUGUGGGCUUGGCUCUGAGAGCAUGUGCCCUUGUUUCAACGUACAGCCUAUCAGAUGCCUAAGGAAUGGUGCCACCCACAGGUGGCUGACCUUCAUGUAUCGAUUCAGACGACUCUCCACAAACAUGUUCAAAGGCCAAUCUGAUUCAGGAAACCCCUAAAUUGAGACGCCUUUCUGGAGUGACUCUCGGCUGUGUCAAGUUGACUGUUAAAGCAGAUGAGGCCCCGCCCAUCUUCACGGAACCCUAAUCUGUCGAAAAUAAAUCAGAACUGCUGCUGUCUUAUUCAUGCUCCCUGGAUAAAGAGGAAGCAGAAUUGUCCAUUGAGCAUGCAAAGGCUUGUCCUAAGCACUGCCUUUUGGGAGCAGAAGGUACCCGACGCCCAAAGAGAGCCAGCUUGAUGCCGGCCAGACUGCCAUCUGUACUUCCUCCAAGCCAGGCACUUAUCAGCCCUACACUUGGCCACCCAGAAUCCCCGAGCGAGCGAGGGAGCCGAAGGAGCAGAUUAAUCCCUACCAGUGUGGCCCUCCUUUAGAACCUGGUGCCAACAUGCAAGUUCUUCAGAGACUCUUGGGUCUUCCUAGGCAGCCCUCCUCCUGGAUUUCCCAUUGUACAGGUUCUUUUCUUCCUUUCGGAUUCCUUGUCAACUCUUCUUAGCUUGACCUGGUUACUAGUCCACAAGGACACAGGAUAUGAUCUUGUGAUGCUUAAAGAAACAGCAAGGUGGUGGUGGCACAUGUCUUCAAUCUCAGCACUCAGAAGGCAGAGGCAAGCGGAUCUCUGUGUGGUCAAG